AAGGGCAUAGCUCAGUGGUAGAGUGUGUGCUUAGCAUGCAUGAGGCCCUGGGUUCAAUCCCCAGUACCUCCA
rnacentral:tRNA from 1 species